AUAAAUAUUAUAAAAGAGAAAAAAAAGAUACAAAAUUUUGGAGGACUAGACCAAAAUUCAAGUGGGAACUAGACAAAUGACAACUGCCUCAUUAAAAAUCUUACCUGUAAAAUUCAAAGGGAAAAACCAAUUAAGUGGGGAUCUAUGUUCAGGAAAAUAAAAUCUAUUUCUAGAAAGAAAAAAAACAUUACACAUAUUAUGAGGUAUAGUAUCCCACGAUUGGAAGUCGAAAAUAUGCAAACUAAUAUUAGCAAGAACAUCAUCUCAUUGAUUUUCUUCCCUAAAAUAUGAGAAAUAAUAAACAUCAUCUUUUUUGUAAGAUCGACACAACUCAACCAACGAUUCCGAACACGCCAAAGAAUCAUAUCAGAAUUGCGGAAAACUAAAGUCACCGCGAGAGAAUCCGUUUCCGACCAAAGUUGAUGUCAUCCACUAGAGUAGGAAGUUUCAAUAGCAAUCAUUACA
rnacentral:lncRNA from 1 species